CCCCUCAGCCGUCCGUUCAAGGAUGGUUUCUUCGGUACUCUUAUCCUGAGUCCUGAGUGAAUCAAAGACGUCUACAGAUUGAAUGAAUCAUCAUGGGGACUGUCAGCGCUAAAGCAAAGUAUCAGACAUGGUUCCGUGUGCUGAAAUGAGGAAGAAGAGGAGAAGGGAUUGAUUUUGGAGUCACAUAGAUGUGGGGUCAAAGCCUACGAUGUUGGACAGAUCCAUUUCUCCUUCCUUCAUGAACUUACAGUUAACAAGUACUCAGGAAGUUGGUCCCUUUAAGCAUACAUGAAAUAAAGAAUGCAGAGUCCUCCA